GUAAUAAAAUAAGCAAGUAAGACACACAGUAGAGCAGGCAGAGUUGGCGGAGAACUGGAUCUAACUGGGUUGGGGUUUUGCCAAGCAAGUACAGUCCAACUUGGAGUGUGGAGGGAAGGGUAUAGAAAAGGUAGGGACUAGAAUAACUAACCCUGGAAUUUAGGCUGGGAAAGGAGGGAGUAGGGAUUUGAAAGCGGGUGAGGUCAGUAGUCUGUGGGGCCCUGAGGGGCGAUGGCUCCAAGGCACGAGCCGGAAAGAGGUUUGACAGUGGCUUCUCUGGAGGGCUCAAGCUUGACCAGGAAACUGAGUGCCGAGCCCUGGAAGAUCACUGGGGAGAGGAGGUCAAAGAACUGGGAGGCCAGGGCACCAUCGGCGGGCUGAACCUUUUGUUUUUGUAAUUAGAACUACAGAAAGGGACAGAGCUGUUUAUGUCAUGAAAAGCAGGCCUGAGCAUUAGAAGACUGAGAAACACCUGGGAGGAUCUUGUUUCAACAGAGCUCAAAGCCGUGGCAAAAGGACGGAGCUCGAAUUGUGCAAUUUUGUUUUUCAGAAACCCAGGCCCCCAGCAAAUGGAAAAUGCCAUCCACUGGCACAGAGACUUCAGUUGGGAGCCGAGGACUGAACUCAGACCACCAUUCUUUGUUCAACAUUUCUUCCUGAGGGGCCUGGAGGAAGUCACACCCACAGGCCAGAGCUCAACAUUCCUUUCUGCUGACCCCAGGCACCAGUCCAUGGCACUCCCUAUGCCUGCAGGAUACCACAUCAAAGCAGAGUUGGGGGAGCAUUUCAGGAGGUUCCUGUGAAAAACCUACAUGCACACACCCCCACGUGCAGCUGCAGACUGCUAUCUAUACACGAAGUUAUGCAUCGCAGAGUCGACUGCAAAAGGCUGGAGCCCACACAGCGUCUAUCAAUAGGGAACGGGUUAAAUCGACCACAAGAUUUCCAUAUGACGAUGGAACACUUUCCAGCCAAGAAAGGAGGAGGAAGUCCUCACUGCUCUGAUACGGAACAGUCACCAAGACAUAUUUUAAGUAAAAAAAAGGCAGCAUGCAUAACCAGGGAAAUGAAAACUAAAACCACAGUGAGUUACAAUUUCACACAGAUCCAUCUACAAAAAAAAAAAAGCUGAUAAUUGCAGGUGUUGGUGAAGAAGUGGAGUGAGGGGAAUGCUCAAACUACUAGUGGGUGUGCGAAUGGUUAUAACCACUUUUUAAAAUUUUGGCAUUAUCUACUGAAGUUGACAAUGUACUUUCCCAAUGGCCUUGCAAAUGCCCUGGAGAAGUUCUUACCCAACCCCCGCCAUUCCCCCCAACACACACCAAAAGAAACAAUUAAGAACAUUUGCACCAGCUCUGUUCCUAGAACCCCAAAACUGAGGCCAGCACUGAGGCCAAGCACAGUGGCUCAUGCCUGUAAUCCCAGCAGGCAUGAGCCACCCUUUGGGAGCCUGAGGCCGGAGGAUUAUUGAGGUUGAGAGUUCAAGACCAGCCUGGGCAACAUAGUGAGACCUUGUCUCUAUAAAAGAAGUUUUAAAAAUUAGCCAGGUGUGAUGGCUCAUGCUUGUAGUCCCAGCUAAUUGGGAGGCUGAGGUAGGAGGAUCGUUUCUUGAGCCCUGGAGGUUGAGGCUGCAGUGAGCCAUGAUUGCACCACUGCACUCCAGCCUGGGCAACAGAAUGAGACCCUGUCUCAAAAAAUAAAAUUAAAUUAGAAAACAAUAAUAAUUAUUAUUAAUAAAUAAAAUAGUCCAAUGAAAAUAAUCAUACUAUCUCCAUGCAAUGGAAUUCUAUACAAGAGUGAAAAUGAACUAACUCCGGACAUGCGUAUCAGUACACUGAACUUCAGAACUAUAAUUAUGGGUGGGACAAAAGCCAGCCAUAGAAAACUAUUCUAUUCAUAAUCCCAAAAAGGUAGUAUACCAUAUUCAAUUAUUAUAUAUAUUUAUGUCUUGUUAUAUAUAAUGUUUAUUACAUUUAUCUUAGUAUAAAAAUAUAGUAUAUUUAUCAUAAUCUAUUAUAAACAAGUAGUAGGAUUAUAAAAAGACAAAAAGGGCAGGAUAAGCGUAAAAUUCAUGAUAGUAUUUAGGGGAAGAGGAGGGUGGGGCUGGAGAGAGGCACAUGGUUUCAAAAGCCCAGCUUCUUUGUCUAAAACAGGGCGUGGGUACCCAUACUGGUCUAUUGUAUUGUGGGUGUCUUUAAAAUGUAUAUAUAUUCUAUAACUACUAUUUUUGUAUCUACUCAAUAUUUAAUUUUAAAAUUUUAAAUGAGGCCUAGAACACUAUAAAAAGUAUGCUACCAUUUGUAUAGAAAAAGUGGACACACACAUCACUCAUGUGCAUAGAUUAAAGUGUCUCUGGAAACUUACACAUGCAACUGGUGAAACUGGUUUCCUCUGGGGAGGAGAACUGGGAGGCUGGGGACAAGGAGGGGCAAUAAAUCAAUUGAAAUUAAAAAUCACAAAAUUUAAGGAGAAGGAGACAAAGAAGGGAAGGAGGAAGAGAAGGGAGGGUGGAGGGGAGAGGCCAAGUCCUGGUCCCAGGAGGGACAGGGAGCAGAAAGAGGAGGACUGGCCAGGCUCUGGCUAUCAAAACCUGUGUGUGCCACAGGCACGAGUGGAGCCAGAAGCCUGCAGUCCUGCCCAGGAAAGCCUGUGUCCUCCGCGCACAACUCAGGCUUAGACCCAGAGAAUGCUCUUUCUUGCACCUGAGGACGGGGCUGGCUUCAAACAGUUGCCCAGGUUGACCCUGGCUCUGCAGUCUUUUGUUUCCAGAGCUUUGCUUCCAAACGAGGCUCCCUUGGGUCUCUUUCCCUGGCCCUGCCUUCUUAUCUCCAACCUUCACCCCACCUGUGAUCCAAGCGAUUCCUUUGAAGUUGCUUCAGAGUCUUCUGAGCCUUCAUCCUUGAUGACUCUGAAAUGUGCGUCUGUGGCACCAAGGUCAGCCAACAGCAAGUAGGCCCUUUUCAUCUCCUUUUAAACCUUCCCCUCAAGGACUCAGUGUCCUUGCUGUAUUGCCUUAUCAAAACCUGCUCACAUAUCCUUUGUUCACACUGGGAUACCGGUCAUUUAAAGGAAAACAGGCCCACUCUAACCAGGGUCACUGCCAAGUCCCUAAGUAUCAUGCCCUUGAGAGGUAAAAGCAUAAAGCACUAAGGGUAGAAUUUUGGGCAACAGCCAGUGGACAAGGACAAAAUGGGUGCAAUAUGCAGGGGUCCCUUCUGCCCCACCGGUAACCAUAACACCUCAGGACACAGGCUGGGGUCUGUAUUCAAAAGUGGGUCCCUCAGACCGGGCACAGUGGCUCACGCCUAUAAUCCCAGCACUUUGGGAAGCCAAGGCCAGCGGAUCCCUUGAGCCCAGGAGUUUGUGACCAGCCUGAGCAACAUGGCGAAACCCCAUCUCUACAAAAAAUACCAAAAUUAGUCUAGUCGGGCAUGGUGGUGCACACACCUAUGGUCCCAGCUAUUUGGGAGGCUGAGGGGGGAGAAUCGCUUGAGCCCCAGGAGGCAGAGAUUGCAGUGAGCUGUGAUCGAGCCACUGCACUCCAGCCUGGGCAACAGAGUGAGACCCUAUCUCAAGAAAACAAAAACAGAAAGUAAAAAAGCAAUCCUCGAGCAAAAGUGGGUCCCUCAGAGCCCAAUGACAGUGAUGAGGAGGAUGAGGUGGGAAAGGUAGUGUUACUCUGAACUAAAAAGGACUGCCCAGUGUGACCCUAUCUCCCAAACAGCCCAUGCAGGGAUCUGGGUGGCACCAUAGUACAGAAGUGGGUGCCAAGAGAGGCCUGGGCUGCACAGCCAGGUGCAUACAUGCCCUGGAGUCCAGGACAGGAUCAGCAGCAAAUCCACUCCAGGGAGCUCUCCCCCCUCACCAUCCUCUCAAUCAGGGUUCCCCAGUUGAAAAGCACCUUGGCAGUUCAUAAUUCUCCCUCUAAAGCCAGAAAGUGCUGUAAAGGAUAACAGAAGCCUGGCUGCACAGUGGAGCUUAAUGGAAGUCAUUCAACAAGCAGGUCUGGAGCAAACAUCAUGGACCAGCAGUACUGUGUGUUGGCACAGAUGUGAAGCAACUAUACUCUGAUACGGCUUGGAUAUGUGUCCCCACCCAAAUCUCAUAUUGAAUUUUAAUUCCCAGUGUUAGAGGAGGGGCCGGGUGGGAGGUGACUGGAUCAUGGGGGCAGAUUUCCCCCUUACUGUUCUCACGAUAGUGAGUUCUCAGAUCUGGUUAUUUUAAAGUGUGUAGCACCUCCCACUUUGCUCCCUUCCUCCUGCUUUGGCCAUGUAAGAUGUGCCUGCUUCGCCUUCCCCUUCCGCCAUGAUUCUAUGUUUCCUGAGGCCUCCCCAGCCAUGCUUCCUAUACAGUCUGCAGAACCGUGAG
rnacentral:lncRNA from 10 species